rnacentral:rRNA from 1 species
UACGUAGGUGGCAAGCGUUAUCCGGAAUUACUGGGCGUAAAGGGUGCGUAGGUGGUUUCUUAAGUCAGAGGUGAAAGGCUACGGCUCAACCGUAGUAAGCCUUUGAAACUGGGAAACUUGAGUGCAGGAGAGGAGAGUGGAAUUCCUAGUGUAGCGGUGAAAUGCGUAGAUAUUAGGAGGAACACUAGUUGCGAAGGCGGCUCUCUGGACUGUAACUGACACUGAGGCACGAAAGCGUGGGGAGCAAACAGG